GGGCUUAGCUCAGUGGUUAGAGCAGCCGAUCCAUGGACGGAAGGUCGUUGGUUCAAUUCCUUCAGCCUCCA
rnacentral:tRNA from 1 species